AGCUCCGGCACCGCCCCACGACCCCGAGCGUUGAGAGCCACUGAAGGAGCUCCGCCACAGGAGGAUGUCCCGGGGAGGAUAAAGAAGGGAAGGAGAGGGAAUGGGGAAGAAGAGGAAGAAAAAAAAGGCUUACAUCACCAAAGCCUUUAGAUAAACAGUCACCUUCACAGCUGUUCAUUCCAAGCCAAUGACUACAUGCUCCAGGGAAGGACCAAGGCUGAGAGGGAGGCUAUGCAUUCAAUGUCUGAUGCGCAAUCAUUGCCCUGGGCUGGCAUGUGGACAACAUUUGUAAUAGCAAUGCAGCAGAAGAAAAUAAAAUUACAAGCAUAAAA